rnacentral:rRNA from 1 species
GGGUGAAGUUAUAUUUAUACUAAUACACCAAAUCUCAUACGUAUUUUGAAGUUAAGCUUGUCUAGGCAAAAGAGUAGUACUAGGAUGGGUGACCUUUAGGAAGUCCUUAUGUCACACACU